rnacentral:rRNA from 1 species
UACGAAGGGGGCUAGCGUUGUUCGGAAUUACUGGGCGUAAAGCGCACGUAGGCGGACUGUCAAGUCAGGGGUGAAAUCCCGGGGCUCAACCUCGGAACUGCCUCUGAUACUGUCAGUCUAGAGUCCGGAAGAGGUGGGUGGAAUUCCUAGUGUAGAGGUGAAAUUCGCAGAUAUUAGGAAGAACACCAGUGGCGAAGGCGGCUCACUGGUCCGGUACUGACGCUGAGGUGCGAAAGCGUGGGGAGCAAACAGG